AUUGAACGCUGGCGGCAGGCUUAACACAUGCAAGUCGAGCGGGGGAAGGUAGCUUGCUACCGGACCUAGCGGCGGACGGGUGAGUAAUGCUUAGGAAUCUGCCUAUUAGUGGGGGACAACAUCUCGAAAGGGAUGCUAAUACCGCAUACGUCCUACGGGAGAAAGCAGGGGAUCUUCGGACCUUGCGCUAAUAGAUGAGCCUAAGUCGGAUUAGCUAGUUGGUGGGGUAAAGGCCUACCAAGGCGACGAUCUGUAGCGGGUCUGAGAGGAUGAUCCGCCACACUGGGACUGAGACACGGCCCAGACUCCUACGGGAGGCAGCAGUGGGGAAUAUUGGACAAUGGGGGGAACCCUGAUCCAGCCAUGCCGCGUGUGUGAAGAAGGCCUUAUGGUUGUAAAGCACUUUAAGCGAGGAGGAGGCUACUUUAGUUAAUACCUAGAGAUAGUGGACGUUACUCGCAGAAUAAGCACCGGCUAACUCUGCG
rnacentral:rRNA from 1 species